UGAACGCUGGCGGCGUGCCUAAUACAUGCAAGUCGAGCGAACGGACGAGAAGCUUGCUUUUCUGAUGUUAGCGGCGGACGGGUGAGUAACACGUGGAUACCUACCUAUAAGACUGGGAUAACUUCGGGAAACCGGAGCUAAUACCGGAUAAUAUUUUGAACCGCAUGGUUCAAAAGUGAAAGACGGUCUUGCUGUCACUUAUAGAUGGAUCCGCGCUGCAUUAGCUAGUUGGUAAGGUAACGGCUUACCAAGGCAACGAUGCAUAGCCGACCUGAGAGGGUGAUCGGCCACACUGGAACUGAGACACGGUCCAGACUCCUACGGGAGGCAGCAGUAGGGAAUCUUCCGCAAUGGGCGAAAGCCUGACGGAGCAACGCCGCGUGAGUGAUGAAGGUCUUCGGAUCGUAAAACUCUGUUAUUAGGGAAGAACAUAUGUGUAAGUAACUGUGCACAUCUUGACGGUACCUAAUCAGAAAGCCACGGCUAACUACGUG
rnacentral:rRNA from 1 species